GACGAACGCUGGCGGCGUGCCUAAUACAUGCAAGUAGAACGCUGAAGAGAGGAGCUUGCUCUUCUUGGAUGAGUUGCGAACGGGUGAGUAACGCGUAGGUAACCUGCCUGGUAGCGGGGGAUAACUAUUGGAAACGAUAGCUAAUACCGCAUAAAAUUGAUUAUUGCAUGAUAAUUAAUUGAAAGAUGCAACUGCAUCACUACCAGAUGGACCUGCGUUGUAUUAGCUAGUUGGUGAGGUAACGGCUCACCAAGGCGGCGAUACAUAGCCGACCUGAGAGGGUGAUCGGCCACACUGGGACUGAGACACGGCCCAGACUCCUACGGGAGGCAGCAGUAGGGAAUCUUCGGCAAUGGGGGGAACCCUGACCGAGCAACGCCGCGUGAGUGAAGAAGGUUUUCGGAUCGUAAAGCUCUGUUGUAAGAGAAGAACGGGUGUGAGAGUGGAAAGUUCACACUGUGACGGUAUCUUACCAGAAAGGGACGGCUAACUACGUG
rnacentral:rRNA from 1 species